UUUUUUCUCUGUUUCCUUUAGUGUUGGUUUGGAUUCCUAAGGAAUUUCCAGGGAAAGAAAAAUGGAGAAACAAGACACUUUCAGAUCGUGUCAUAUCUUGUACAUUAAAAUAAGAAGAAUGUGAACAAGAAAGAUAAGUGAUGGUGCAUAAAUGAGCUAAAGGUGACUCUAGUCUCCAAAACUGGAUGAAGUCUGGAGAGAACCCGCUCAUGUUUCCGAGUCCCAAGUGUGGGGGCAGGGCAACUGAAGAGCUCAGAGAUACAAGCAUGAUGGAACUGUGCAACCCUGGGAAGCACCCUUCCUCUCUGCAGUCCACUCUCAGUCCAUCCUGCUCACCCCAGUGCCCUUAUCUUCAGGGGACCUGCCCUCACAACCAGAGUGAUAUGGCCUGUACUUGUAACUUACUGUGAUUUCUAGUACGUGUGCAGCCAGAGAUCGUGUGGAUUUCUCACUCCUUUUUUCCACUUUAAAAUCUGCUAAUAUGUUAUGCUAAAUGCUACAGGGUAUGGAUACUUCCAGGUAAGUAUACUUGCAGACUUUUUUUUUCAAAAGAAACGCAAAAUCUUUCGAGGAGAAAUUUCACCAAAAACUUUUUUUUAAUCAAAAUGGAAAUUAAUUAACUUGUUUUUAUAAAAGCCACAUGUGCUCAUUUCAAGUGCUUUAGAGAACAGAGAAAAUCAUAUAAACUUAAACAGGGAUGUCUGGGUGGCUCAGGAGGUUAAGCAUCUGGCUUCGGCUCAGGUUAUGAUCCCAGGGUCCUAGGAUCAAGUCCUGCAUCCAGCUCCUUGCUUAGCAGGGAGCCUGCUCCCCCCUCUGCCUUCUACCCCCCCCCCCCAACAUGUGCUCUCUC
rnacentral:lncRNA from 1 species